rnacentral:lncRNA from 1 species
CAAAGACCAACCAUAAAAAUGAUAAAUUAAACCAAACCCCCCAAUUAACUCCUAUUCUUAUUAUCAUCAACAGCACUUUCAUCUGUAGACUCAGAAGCACUUCCCUCGGCUACUGGUUUAGUACUUUCAGACUCAUCAGCUUUACCAUCAUCAGAAAUUCCAUGCCAUUCUUCUUCUGCUUCUUCUCCAUCCUGAUCAGAACCUUCAGUUUGCUGAGUAGCGACUUUUUGCGAAGAAUUGAUUUCAUCGUUUGAUGAGGAAAGGCCUUUAGGUCCAAUAAACCAAGGGAUUUUACCGCGCAUAAAAUCAUUCAAUACCAUUUUAGCAACCGAAGCUUCAUCAGGUUCACCUCCUUUGAGCAAACGGCCUCCCUUCUUCGCAAGUUUAGCAAGAAAUUCAGUCGAAUCAUUCCAACCAGAUAUUUCAUAUGUUCUCUCAAGAUGCUUCACUUUACAACGACUGAGUACAGUAGGAAUAUAUGCUUCUGGAUUACUCACGUUUUCAACUCGGACUACACCUUUCAAUAAAAGCUCUGCAUCAGAGUCGUUGGAACUGGGUGGGACUAUACCAGGACAGUCGAUUAAAAAAAUUCGUUUCAUGAGUGCAACAUAUUGCCAAACUUUCGUUUCUCCAGGAAUGGGAGCAACAUUACAAACUUUUUUCUUCCUUAAAGUAUUGAUGAUGCUUGAUUUUCCGGCAUUCGGAAAACCAAUUAACCCAACAGAAAUUUGUUUUUUGUCAGAAUGUAAAGACGCAAAUUGACGAAGAAUCUGAAUAAGGGACCCUUUACCAAAGGAAUUAUUUAUAGAUGCAUGGAAAGCAAUGGUUGGGUACUCUUUAGCCAAUAUUUUAACCCAGGCGGCCUAAAAAAGUUAGAAAAAAGAACAUUGGUUAAUAAAGAUAUAUCUGGUUGUUCGUUGAUACAUGAAAACAAUGUAAGUCUUUACAUUUGUAAGUGUGACAACUAUAUGCAGCGAUAUACUGCUUGAAACACCGAAAUUAAAGCAAAGACAAUACAACUAUCUCUGAUAUAGCCAGAACGGCUAUAUAAUUUAGAGACAGUUUGUAUACUCUCCCAGAGUUGUAACAGACUUCAAUUGACGGGAAAUAUGCUGAAAAGCAUACAAAAGAGUCUUGACUUAACAAUGGGCAUACUGAAUACUAUUCCAGCAAUUAAAUAGAACUAAUGCAUAACAGAUGCAUAUAGCUUGAUCUUUCCAUGUAUCAAAAACAAUGCAAAUAGAUUUUAAAAACAAAAAUGACUUACAGCAACAGAGGUAGGAACAAGAUCAACUUUGUUCAAAACCAAAAUCAUAUGCUUAUGAGAAGCUUCGUUCCUUAAAUAGCGCUCUACGGUUCCACAACGAGUACCUACAGGAUCACGCGCAUCAAGCACUUGGAUUAAAACAUCGCUAGAAUCAAUAACUUUGUAAAGCUCAUUCCAAAUACGUUUAGAUUGUCCUUUGCUAAAAAUCGCAUCACGAGCAGCAAGCAUAACAUCAUCAGACUCAUCGGGAUUAGCCAAUAUACGCUCUUCAAUUUUCUCUUCGUAAGCGUUCUGUUUUUCGUCAGACUCUUUAGCCAAUUCAGCCACAGAAUCGAAUGAGAUCUUGGGGCGUUUUCUUUGAGAUUUAGGGCCAAAAGUGUUUUCAAAAGGCUCUGACUCUAAAACACGAACUUUUGGAAUUUCAGUGUUCUCUUGUAGGAGAGACAUAGGAAGUUUGUUCCUUCGUAAUAAAACUUGAUAAGGAUCGUUUAACUUUUGACCCAUAGCCUCUCGAAAUUGGGUGAGAGUUGGUUGAGCAAUAACUCUGGUAUUGUUGAACCAUCGUCGAUCAGGCUGAAUUCGAGCUUUAGGAACCUCGCUAGACUGAAAUUCAGCAGCACGGACUAAUUCACCAGCAGCGUUAUAUUUCGCCUUGCCUCCUCGAUACAUGUUAACUCGAGCAACAUCCUUGGCAUUUCGGUAAAAAUUUUCACCUUUGACACGAAGGUUGCCAGGCUUCUUCUCAUUAGCACCUUCACGUCCGAUUCUGCUUUUCUCUUUCUUAUAGGUGCC